rnacentral:tRNA from 1 species
GGAGAGGUGGCAGAGUGGUCUAAUGCGGCGGUCUUGAAAACCGCUGUCGCCACUGGCGACCGUAGGUUCGAAUCCUACCCUCUCCGCCA